rnacentral:rRNA from 1 species
AUUGAACACUGGCGACAGGCCUAACACAUGCAAGUCGAACGAGUGGCGGACGGGUGAGUAAUGUCUGGGAAACUGCCUGAUGGAGGGGGAGAACUACUGGAAACGGUCGCUAAUACCGCAUACCAUCGGAUGUGCCAAGAUGGGAUUAGCUCGUAGGUGGGGUAAAGGCUCACCUAGGCGACGAUCCCUAGCUGGUCUGAGAGGCUGACCCGCCACACUGGAACUGAGACACGGUCCAGACCCCUACGGGAGGCAGCAGUGGGGACUAGUGCACAAUGGGCGCAAGCCUGAUGCAGCCAGGCCGGGUGUAGGAGGAAGGCCUUCGGGUUGUAAAGUACUUGCAGCGGGGAGGCGUUACCCGCAGAAGAAGCACCUGCUAAUUCCGUGCCAGCAGCCGCGGUAAUUC